AAGGGAUGAGCUUCGUAAUGAAACUUUGCAGCUUGCUAGGGAAAAUCUAGAAAAAGAACCAAGGAUCAUGGAGCUUAGAAAUCAGGUUGCUUAUGAUGAUUUUGUUGCUGCUGGAUCAUUUGUAGUUGCAAGAGAGAAAAGACUUCUAAGUUUGUUUUUCCAA